GGCACUUUGCUGAGAGGUAUUCAGAUAGGACCAAGGUCAGUUGGAAAAGAAGGAAGUCUCACUGCUACAAUUUCCACAUGUAGGCCGAAAUUCUGGCACUGAAACUGCAGCAGUCUGUUAGGGAACUCAUUUGCCAAUAAAGAAGCAAGAAGAUUAUUCCAGUUGUCCAGAGACAUGUUAUUCCAUCUUAAACAAAGCAAGACGACAAGGCAGUGACUCUUAACUACCGUUUAUAAAAAUGGAUUGGCCCCCAACAAAGAUAUUCACUUCGUGUUCGACAGCGCCCGUACCCAUGUCAAGAUUGUCUCGCUUGCCGAAGUUUGUCUUAUAGUUAAUAUGCAGGGUUGACAUUUGAUUUGGUUUGAAAUGUAAUGUUUGCUUUGGGUUGCUAUAGGCCUAAUCUGCAUCAAAUUGUGCAACAAAUGAAGUGCAGUGUGUAACGAGUGUUUUUUUUCAUGAAACUUCUGAUAAAAAUGGACUAAAUACAAGCGUCAACCCUGCAUAUCGCGUUACUACCUGUAAGUUGUACUACGGUACUCUAUCCACACUUGAUGUUUUUAUUGUAAUUUAUUUAUAAAUUUUGUUUAUACUCUCCAGUUCUCAAGCCCGAAACAGACAAUUUGAAUGCUCCUUAAACAGAAAUAAUGUCGUUGAAAACAUUUCCUUGCUGAAGAUAUGUAUAAAAACGAAAAAAACAUAAAACUUGUUUUAGAAUUAUCACUACGUGCUGUCCAGGUAGAGCACUGUGCUGGUACACUGUACAACCGGUUUUUAUAUGCUUGACUGUAAAAUAUGUGUGGGCAAAUAUGUGAUAAGAUACUUUAUUGUGCACUCGAAAAUGUUUAUUCGCAUUAAAUUGAUACAAAUGUUAAUUUAAUGAAGUUAACUUUUGAAAAGGAAAAAAAUGUCGCAACAACGUAUAAUGCAUACAGGAAUCUUUUAUUGUGGGUUUAUUUGAAGAACUGAACGAAAGGUUAAUCUGCAGUAAACUGUGAAUGUUGUAAUCCAAAUAAUGACUGUUGAGAAAAAAACAGCAAUAGGAAAUUGUAAAAUGUGUUCAGGUUAUUGCAGAAUUGCCCACAUGUAUUGAAGCCGGUUUUUCUAAAAUUGUGAACAUGCAGUUAUGACGCACGGUCAGAUUAAACUUCCUUUGGUUCCCGGUGUUUUGAUAUACAUGUACUAGUAGUGCGUCUGAUCAGUGAUAGACCCAUAGUUUUAUUGCUGAGAUGGGGUUAUGUUUGUUUUCAGAAAUUCAGACCAUGGGCUGGGUAGCUUUUUUUGAAAUUAAUAUGUUUUUGUUUUUACGACCUUUCGCCUACAUCACAAAUCGGAAAUGUUUAAUGUUCACAAAGAAAAAAGUGAAUUGUAGAAAAAUGUUUCCUUUUGGCAUCUUUUGUCAAUUAAAAUUUACAUGUAGGACUGGCAUUUAUCGCAUCCUUGUACAACUUGAAUUUUUGAAAUAUUCUUAUCAAAUUCGCAUCGAGAACUACAGUUGUCGCGAAGAUGUUUUUUUAAAAGGGGGGUGGGGGUAAUGAACAUUUUAAAAGAAUGGGCUUAACUUUUGUAGACCGUAGCCUAUAUAUUUCUAUAAAAACACGAAAUCAAAUCUGUAUGGAAUAACACGAAAAAGAUUUUUUUUUUUUUUGUAAAAUGAACAUAAAUAUCUAAUUUUAUAUUUGGUACACUGUGGCUUAGAAUUUCUUUUAAUUUAGUCAAUUAAUUGUCAGCUGACUGAAUUAUCGCCUAAAAAUCCUUUUUGUCUGCGUAAUCAAAAAUGAGAAACGAAAACUAUCAGAAAAAUGACACUUUCAUCGGUAAGACGAAAGAUUUUACCAAAAAUUUGCAGGUGGGUGAUUUUUUUAAUGUUGAACUUGUACCUGAUACUUUCUAAAUUCUAUUUUUUCGGUUGGAAUCAAGGGGUGAUUGAGAAGAAAAUGGAAGAUUAGAUGCCAGUCCUGCACGUGCUGUUGGGUUAUUGUUGUUGAAUGUUUCUUGAUCACUGAACACCGGAGACCGUUGAAUUAAUAAGCAUUUUCUGAGUAAAUGUGCUUAGUUAUUUUAAGGAACUUUUUCAAUUUUCUUUACAUCUGAUUAUUAAAAAUGGCUAUGACUGGGAUAGGGUUGUAAACUGACCAUGUCUUCAUGCUGUUCUUGGUUCGCACAACGCGUAUAUUUAAGCGUUCACUCAAAAUUCGAUUUUAAUAUUUACAGAUAAGAAAAGAUGACGCAAAAUAUGACGUACAUAUUUAUUUAUCUAUGAGAAAAGCGCUCAUCAAAUUUACAUAACUGAAUAGUGUUUGACUGCUGUUUGGUGUUGUUUGUGAUCAUCAGCAUGGCGACAUAGAGUUAGUUGUGGCGUGCGGGGGAAACGCUUACAUGAGAUUAUAUGCAUUUUGAAUUUUCGAAAUCGUGACCACCUUUGGAUUUGGAUAAAAAUGUCCCUCGGUGAAAUUUUGGACCAGACAUAAUACAAAUAUACCAAUGUCAACUUUGAACGAUAGUUGUAAAAUAUAUCUCAUCAAAUCUUCAACUUUCUUUUUUAACUCUGGGCAAAAACCUGAGAAUAUCAUGUCGUCUUUAGUGUUCUAGAACACUUUAAAACCAAAGCAAUUGAUAUUGUGCGAUGAUUUUCAAAAUGCAUAAACCCUCCCACACAUUGAUCUAUGGAUAAUUCUAUAUAAGCCUGAUUUAUAUAUCGAUAUGCCAAGUAGUUGUGAAAAUAGCUUUUUAUCUAGAGCCAAAACAUAGUGUUCGGUUUUUGCAUACAUCUUUAUGGUGCAAUUGCUCGUUUUUGUUGUAAUAAACG